CCUACGGGAGGCAGCAGUAGGGAAUCUUCCACAAUGGGCGAAAGCCUGAUGGAGCAACGCCGCGUGGGUGAAUAAGGUCUUAGGAUCGUAAAACCCUGUUGUUAGAGAAGAAAGUGAGUGAGAGUAACUGUUCACGUUUCGACGGUAUCUAACCAGAAAGUCACGGCUAACUACGUGCCAGCAGCCGAGGGAAUACGUAGGGUGCAAGCGUUAUCCGGAUUUAUUGGGCGUAAAGGGAACGCAGGCGGUCUUUUAAGUCUGAUGUGAAAGGCUUCGGCUUAACCGGGGUAGUGCAUUGGAAACUGGGAGACUUGAGUGCAGAAGAGGAGAGUGGAACUCCAGGUGUAGCGGUGAAAUGCGUAGAUAUAUGGAAGAACACCAGUGGCGAAAGCGGCUCUCUGGUCUGUAACUGACGCUGAGGUUCGAAAGCGUGGGUAGCAAACAGGAUUAGAUACCCCUGUAGUC
rnacentral:rRNA from 1 species